UAAAGGCGUCAGAUUUUAGCUGUUGGAGGAUUUAUCUUGUCUUUGGUUGUUAAGCGAACUGAAAGGUUCAUCUCUGAUCGGUUCCCCCUCCGUCACCUGUGCAGCCGUAUUUAAACACACGUUGCAUGAAGGUCCUGUGGUGUUUAUUGUUGGACGAAGGACACGUUGUCUCUGUCCUCUGCUGGAGGACGUCCCCUCACCCGCUGAGCUGCUGCCGUUCCCGCCUCGUUCCAGGAAAAGGUCAGCGGUGCUUUUAAAUGAACUUUACGUUGUUAACUCAGCUCCUCUCGUCACGUCUGUCGGCCGCCGCCGCCGCCGGCUGUUUCUGCUUGUUUCUGAUGCUGCGGGUCGGCUCCGAAACGCACAAACCUCCAGCCGCCGCCGGCGCCACAGCUGAGCUCAUGUUGUCUUCUGCUGCCCGGAUCACAGCCAAGGAGAAACCGAGUCACUGCUACAGCAGCAGCCGCUGACCGGUCCCGUCCAGAGCCGGGCAUGCUGGGAAAUGAUCAGAGAAACUCAAAACAAUCAGAUCAGAGCCGCUCCUCUGCAUCAGCUGGUCAGACUCCAACCAAACAUGAAGUAGACGUCACCAUGGCAACCGUCUCCUUCCCGCCGGUGAUGCCGCUGAGUCGACCACAACGGGUCGACCGCCAUCUGGGCCGGCAGGGCGAGGACACACUGACACACACACAGAGAAGCACACACCUAAAAACACACACCUGCACACUGAGAGGAGCAGCAUAAAAUCUGACAGACACAUCAGAGCCACAGGAACAGCAGAAUAUUUCCACCAAAGAUUAACCCCAACCCCAGAUGUCAAACUUUAGUCCACAUUUAAAUGAAAUUCAUUUAGAAGUGUGCUAAAUGUUUUCAAAGCUAGCUAACAUGCUAAAUUAGCAGAGCUAAACUAAUUUAGCACCAGAGCUAAUUGGUGCUAAAUCUGCUAUUAGCAUAUUAGCUGUUGAAGCCUUCAGAUUAAGAACAUGUUGCUGAGAUGAUGAAGUUUGUUUUAGAGCCUGAUGACCUGAAGAAACGAAGGAUUAUAAAAGUUAAAAUCUGGAAGCUUCACUGUCCGUCCGUAUCUGUGAGCAUCAUUAGCCUCGUCUGGUUCUGGUUCUGGUUCUGGGACAAGAAUACUAAAGUGGUUUUCUUUUUGUUUUUCUUAUCAGAAUCAUAGUGAAUGGUUGGUGGAUUUAACUCUUUAAUGACAUUUUUACACAUGGUUUUGGUUUUUUGUACAUAUUUUUGUGUUUAGUUUUGUUUCUAGUUGUUCAGGGACACAGAAGGUGGUGUGUGUGUGUGUGUGUGUGUGUGUGUGUGUGUGUGUGUGUGUUUUGGUCCUGUGUGUGUGUGUGUUUUGGUCCUGUGUGUGUGUGUGUGUGUGUGUGUGUGUCGUGGACACAGACUCUACCAUCCCUUAACUCCCCCCUGAAGGCUGGGCGCCCUACAUUCAGCCAUCAAGCUCUCUGUUACAUAAAGCCAGUGCUGCCACACACGCUGUUGCUAGGCAACAAGCCCCGGAGCCCCAUCAUGGAGUCUCGCUGGGCCGCGGCGGUACCUGAAAGUCUUCAAAUGGGUCAGCGAGGACAAAAGAAACGAGACAAACCGCAGAGGAAGGAGAGAAAAGCAACCCGAAGUGAAGAGUCUCUGGAGCCGGUCUGACAAUGAGGCGGCGACACCGGAGGUCCGAACGGCGGCGGCAACAGAACCAGGCAGAGCCGGGAUAUUAAAGAGACUCAAAACAUUCAAAUGCAGCUUCACUGCAGCAAAACGAGAUGCAAACAGUCAAUGAUGAGCUUCUGCUUCAUAAACCUUUCAGAUUAAAAUCCAGCAGUUCAGAUUGCAAAACGAUUUACUGACUUAACAGACAAUUUCUGUUAAAAUAAAUACAUUUAAAGAGCCCAGAGUGGCUGAGUGUGCAGGUUCUGAACAGAGCGGACUCAUUCAUGAUUUAAUUGAAUUUUGCAUAAAGUUCUGAAUUAAAUGACUUCAUGUUUUGCUGACAAAAUGAGAAAAAGGAUGAAGUCCAGAUAAGUGCAGAGAGAGGAAGAGCAUCUGGAGUUCACAUCAAUAUUUAGCAUUAGAUGCCAAAACUAAUUAUUCUGGAUAUGAGAGACUCAACAGGAAGUCCUGCAGUGAGAUCAGGCUUCAUCUUCCUGCUACCUGACAUGUUUGCAGAUGUUUCUCUGUUCUGGCACAUCGCAUACAAAUGAGCAAACAUGUAUGACGAGACAAAUGGAAAGAAGCAUCAAAGUUUGAUUAGCGCCCUGUUCCGAUUAUGACGUUUCACAAAAGCAGUGAAAUAAAGACCAACAUGACUGAGGCAGGAUGUAAUCCUGUAUGAAUAUGAGUGUCAACUAUAUAUGGCAAGACAUAAAUAAAAUAAUAAGCAGCCGAAUAUGGCAAGAC